CCUACGGGAGGCAGCAGUGGGGGAUAUUGCACAAUGGGGGGAACCCUGAUGCAGCGACGCCGCGUGGGUGAAGGAGCGUUUCGGCGCGUAAAGCCCUAUCGGCAGGGAAGAAGGAGGACGGUACCUGACUAAGAAGCCCCGGCUAACUACGUGCCAGCAGCCGCGGUAAUAAGGAGGGGGCAAGCGUUAUCCGGAUUUACUGGGGGUAAAGGGGGGGCAGACGGCAGCGCAAGCCAGGAGUGAAAGCCUGGGGCCCAACCCCCGGACUGCCGGUGAAACUGGGCGUCUGGAGUGCGGGAGGGGCAGGCGGAAUUCCUGGUGUAGCGGUGAAAUGCGUAGAUAUCAGGAGGAACACCGGUGGCGAAGGCGGCCUGCUGGACUGCGACUGACGUUGAGGCCCGAAAGCGUGGGGAGCAAACAGGAUUAGAUACCCCAGUAGUC
rnacentral:rRNA from 1 species